CUAACACAUGCAAGUCGAACGAGAAACUAGCUUCGGCUAGUGGGAAGUGGCAAACGGGCGAGUAACGCGUAUAUAACUUGCCCCGGAGCGGGGUAUAACUAUGGAGACAUAGCUAAUCCCCCAUACGCUCUACAAAAUGAAAAUAUGUAGAGGAAAGAUUUAUCGCUCAAGGAGGAGGAUGCGUCCUAUCAGGUAGUUGGUGAGGUAACUGCUCACCAAGCCUAUGACGGGUAACCGGUUUGAGAGGAUGUCCGGUCGCAAUGGAACUGAGACACGGUCCAUACUCCUACGGGAGGCAGCAGUGGGGAAUCUUGCACAAUGGACGAAAGUCUGAUGCAGCGAUUCUGCGUGGAGGAUUAAGCCUUGCGGGGUGUAAACUCCUUUUCUGGAGGAAGACGAAUGACGGUACUCCAGGAAUAAGGGACGGCUAACUACGUGCCAGCAGCCGCGGUAAUACGUAGGUCCCAAGCGUUAUUCGGAGUUACUGGGCGUAAAGCGUCUGUAGCCGGUUAUAUAAGUCUAUUUUUAAAUACACCGACUCAAUCGGGGAAAGGGAAUAGAUACUGUAUAACUAGAGGAUUUUAGAGGUUAGUGGAAUUUCCAGUGGAGCGGUGAAAUGCGUUGAUAUUUGGAGGAAUGCCGAAAGCGAAAGCAGUUAACUAUAAAAUUCCUGACGGUCAGAGACGAAAGCUUGGGGAGCAAACGGGAUUAGAUACCCCGGUAGUCCAAGCCGUAAAUGAUGUUUGCUAGGUGUGUGUCGCAAGAUUGAGUGUCGAACCUAACGGGUUAAGCAAACCGCCUGGGUAGUAUAUUCGCAAGAAUGAAACUCAAAGGGAUAGGCGGGGUAACACACAAGCAGUGGAUCUUCUGGAUUAAUUGGAUAGUAAGCCAAGAAUCUUACCUAGGCUUGACAUGUACUUUGUCGUACGUGUAAGCGUACUACUCUAGCUUGCUAGAGAGGGUAUACAGGUGUUGCAUGGUCGUCGUCAGUUCGUGCCGCAAGGUGUCCAGUUAAUUCUGGAAACGGACGCAACCCUCAUCUCAUGUUAGGAUGUCAUGAGAGACUGCCUCGGUAACGAGGAGGAAGGAGAGGAUGAUGUCAGAUCUUCAUGACCCUUAUGUCUAGGGCGUCACAGAUCAUACAAUGGGUAGGACAACGAGAAGCAAUACCGUGAGGUGGAGCAAAUCUUUAAACCUAUCCUUAGUUCGGAUUGUAGUCUGGAACUCGACUACAUGAAGUCGGAAUUGCUAGUAAUGGCGGGUCAGCCAUACCGCCGUGAUAUGUCCCUGUUCCUUGCACUCACCGCCCGUCAAACCAUGGGAGUCGGU
rnacentral:rRNA from 1 species